rnacentral:rRNA from 1 species
UACGGAGGGGGCUAGCGUUGUUCGGAAUUACUGGGCGUAAAGCGCACGUAGGCGGCUUUUUAAGUCAGAGGUGAAAGCCUGGAGCUCAACUCCGGAAUUGCCUUUGAGACUGGAUAGCUUGAAUCACGGAGAGGUGGGUGGAAUUCCGAGUGUAGAGGUGAAAUUCGUAGAUAUUCGGAAGAACACCAGUGGCGAAGGCGGCCCACUGGACGUGUAUUGACGCUGAGGUGCGAAAGCGUGGGGAGCAAACAGG